AAUGGGCUUAUGAUGAAACUCUAUCUAACAAAUGGGUAAUUUGCGUCUGAAUGCAUUAAUUUGCUUGAUGUUAAACACCUUGGAGAACUGAUGCCCCUU